rnacentral:rRNA from 1 species
GACGAACGCUGGCGGCGUGCUUAACACAUGCAAGUCGAACGAUGAAGCCGGAGCUUGCUCCGGUGGAUUAGUGGCGAACGGGUGAGUAACACGUGAGCAAUCUGCCCUUGACUCUGGGAUAACCGCGGGAAACUGUAGCUAAUACCGGAUACGACACCUUGGGGCAUCCCCGGGUGUGGUAAGAAUUUCGGUCAAGGAUGAGCUCGCGGCCUAUCAGCUAGUUGGUGAGGUAAUGGCUCACCAAGGGGACGACGGGUAGCCGGCCUGAGAGGGUGACCGGCCACACUGGAGCUGAGACACGGUCCAGACUCCUACGGGUGGCAGCAGUGGGGAAUAUUGCACAAUGGGCGAAAGCCUGAUGCAGCAACGCCGCGUGAGGGAUGUAGGCCUUCGGGUUGUAAACCUCUUUUAGCAGGGAAGAAGCGAAAGUGACGGUACCUGCAGAAAAAGCACCGGCUAACUACGUGCCAGCCGCCGAGUAA